AAAUAAUCGCAACGAUCGUAACGUAUAACCUCAAUAAUAUGGGUUGAGGGUCUCUACAAGGAACCGAUAAUUCCUAGCUACGUUAAAGGCAAAAGAUGUC
rnacentral:ncRNA from 2 species